CCUACGGGAGGCAGCAGUGGGGAAUUUUGGACAAUGGGCGCAAGCCUGAUCCAGCAAUGCCGCGUGAGUGAAGAAGGCCUUCGGGUUGUAAAGCUCUUUUGUCAGGGAAGAAACGGGAGUGGCUAAUAUCUGCUCCUAAUGACGGUACCUGAAGAAUAAGCACCGGCUAACUACGUGCCAGCAGCCGCGGUAAUACGUAGGGUGCAAGCGUUAAUCGGAAUUACUGGGCGUAAAGCGUGCGCAGGCGGUUUUGUAAGUUUGUCGUGAAAUCCCCGGGCUCAACCUGGGAAUGGCGAUGAAGACUGCAAGGCUAGAGUUUGGCAGAGGGGGGUAGAAUUCCACGUGUAGCAGUGAAAUGCGUAGAUAUGUGGAGGAACACCGAUGGCGAAGGCAGCCCCCUGGGUCAAAACUGACGCUCAUGCACGAAAGCGUGGGGAGCAAACAGGAUUAGAUACCCUGGUAGUCCACGCCCUAAACGAUGUCUACUAGUUGUCGGGUCUUAAUUGACUUGGUAACGCAGCUAACGCGUGAAGUAGACCGCCUGGGGAGUACGGUCGCAAGAUUAAAACGUCAAAGGAAUUGACGG
rnacentral:rRNA from 1 species